rnacentral:rRNA from 1 species
UACGUAGGUGACAAGCGUUGUCCGGAUUUACUGGGCGUAAAGAGCGCGCAGGCGGUCGAUCAAGUCGAGUGUGAAAGCCCCCGGCUCAACUGGGGAGGGUCAUUCGAUACUGAUCGACUCGAAGGCAGGAGAGGGUAGUGGAAUUCCCGGUGUAGUGGUGAAAUGCGUAGAUAUCGGGAGGAACACCAGUGGCGAAGGCGACUACCUGGCCUGUUCUUGACGCUGAGGCGCGAAGGCCAGGGGAGCAAACGGG